rnacentral:rRNA from 1 species
CCGUUAAAGGAAGCACCGGCUAAUUCCGUGCCAGCAGCCGCGUUAAUACGGAGGNUGCAAGCGUUGNUCGGAAUUAUUGGGCGUAAAGGGUAGGUAGGUGNUNUCGUUUGUCUGGGGUGAAANCCUUGAGCUUAACUCAAGAAGUGCUUCAGAAACGGCGAGACUAGAGUUCUGGAGAGGNUCGUGGAAUUCCCGGUGUAGCGGUGAAAUGCGUAGAGAUCGGGAGGAACACCAGAGGCGAAGGCGGCGACCUGGACAGAUACUGACANUCAACUACGAAAGCGUGGGUAGCAAACAGGAUUAGAUACCCUGGUAGUCCACGCCGUAAACGAUGGGUACUAGACUUCGUGGGACUUGACCCCUGCGGAGUCGGAGCUAACGCAAUAAGUACCCCGC